rnacentral:tRNA from 1 species
GCUCCCAUCGUCCAGCGGUUAGGACCCAGGAUUUUCAUUCCUGUAACCGGAGUUCGAGUCUCCGUGGGAGCACCA